rnacentral:rRNA from 1 species
UACGUAGGUGGCAAGCGUUGUCCGGAAUUAUUGGGCGUAAAGCGCGCGCAGGCGGUCCUUUAAGUCUGAUGUGAAAGCCCACGGCUCAACCGUGGAGGGUCAUUGGAAACUGAGGGACUUGAGUGCAGGAGAGAAGAGUGGAAUUCCACGUGUAGCGGUGAAAUGCGUAGAGAUGUGGAGGAACACCAGUGGCGAAGGCGACUCUUUGGCCUGUAACUGACGCUGAGGCGCGAAAUCGUGGGGAGCAAACAGG